AUUCAGCGGCGCUGGCUGGAGCUGAGAUGGAAGUUAGUUUCUAUGUAGCAGAAAUAUGAAACAAAUGAAGCAAAACUGCCCAGAGAGGGGAAAUGCCCCAAGGAUGGGUCUCACUCACGCGCGUACACAGACACACACGCAGAGAGCACUCUCACGCUGGGCAAGCUCGGGAUCGCGCUACCCUUCCCGAGUUGAAUGAUAGUGUUUGGUUUCUGUCUCUUGCCAUGUGCAUGUGUAUAAAUGCUGCGGAUUGGCAUCUGUGUAAGUCUUGUCCUGCGUUAUUUCUGCAGCCUAUGCAAGUGUUGUGUAAUUUAUUGGAGUGCUGUAUAUUGCAAUAGAGGUUUGGGCUGCUUUUUGUUAAGCACUUGCGUUUUGCAAACCCGUUAUUUGCUGAAGCCACCUCUGCAUAUUUCUUUUAUUACUGCCAUUGCCUUUGGCGUACGUUUUUUAAAUGUUUUUUAUUGUUAAACGGGCAAAGCGAACUCUUGAUUUGUACUUCAGAUACUCUUUUUCCUUAUUACAAAAAGGCUAGUGAUGGCUAAUUAGGUAUUUGGAAUUAAAGAACCUUAAAGCUUUUUUAAGUGUUUACGAGAAGGGAGAAUGUAAACCUGAGGGAAAGGAAAGGACGCUAAUAUUCAUGUCUAACUGAUCUGGAGGUAAUUUAGUGACAGAUCGAUAACCUGCCUAAGGAUAUUGAAAGAGUAUACUACAGUUUAGCCAAGGUGAAUAGUGAUUAAAUAAUUUAAAUAAUCUGUGUAUCUUGCAGUUGACUUCGUCAUGCUAAUUAAUGGCUUCUAAUUUGAGAUGUAAACCAUUCCUGUUUACAGUUAAUCACGGGAAGACUUCUUGAAAACUGACGAAAAGGAGAAAAAAAAAUCUUUCGUAAAUUAUGGGAAAUACUUGCUGCAAAUGCCUUGGGCUGCACUGUAAGCCCAAGUGUGCUGCACCAGUGUGAUGCCCUAUACUAAAACAUCCAGAAAUCAUCAUACAUAUGAGGAAGAAGAAAUAAAGCCUCAAACCCUUUGGAAUAAUAGGAUAUAAAAUUGCCUUUUGUAACUGAAUCUUAAAAAUGGAAGGUUACCAUGACUUGUCCUAUUGCAACCUGGUUAUCAGAAUAACUUAUUUUUUUUAAGAUAGCUAUUCUCAAAUACUGAACAUAUUUGCAUCUUUAAAGACACUUUAUUCUAUUCAAUUAUAGGUAAAGUAGCCUAUUUCUAGGUGGUUAGGCUUGAAAAGAUAGACUGAAAAGAUAGGAAAUUUUGUAUGCCUUUUUGCAAAUUGUAUUUACUUCUAAGACCGAUGCUGUUUUAGCUUAACUUUUAAAAAAGUGUUCUUCAAAUAAUUGUAAUAUUUUACACGAUCUUGAAGUUCUUCAAAUAAACAGAGUUUAGAAACUAAAAAUUAUAGUGGGAUUUUCUGGUUUUGAAGGCUUGGAAUGUAUGAUUCUUACUAAUAGAUGUUUUAUUCUUGUGAUUGAAAAUAAACCAAAUUAUGACAUGGAAUAUAAUAUUACUCUGGGUAAAGUUUGUGAUAUAUAUCUUCUGUGUGUUUUGUAAACAUAGAAAACUAGCAUGAUUAUCUCAUAUAUUCUUUUCAUUUAGAAGCCACAAAAGCUUUCACCUAAAUAUGCUACUAGUACUUAGCUCCUUAAAAAUUUUUUGGAAAAUCCCCCUCUAAGUUUUCUAAACAUGAUGUUCCUGUCAUUUUGAUUGAUUUUUGACAGUGUUUAUAUUUCUUUUUCAAAUGUCCAAUAUGCAGAUUGUUGUAACCUUCCCUUUGAACUAUUGUCUGUUAUAAGAAAAUAUACAUUACCUGCUAAAAAUUAAAACUUCCCUUCAGCCAAAUAAACUAUUUGUAUUUAACAGUGGAUAUUGAAUUGAAUUUUACUAAGUCCUUUAAAUGUAACAAAUACUCCAAAUAGCCCUUUUAAUUUUCUUAAACAUAAAAAACAUUUGUGAAUUAUAGCAUUGACAGUUAACUGUAAGAUUUAUUAAGUUGUUUAUUGUACUUGUUUAUGUACAAAGUCUGUAAAUAUCAAAUAGAAAGAAAAGUCUUAUUUGGAAGUUCUAGAUUUUAGUUCCCAAAGCAAUGAUCCUUGCAAUUUUUUGUUCAGCCAACUCUUUUGCAUAUAAGGAUAGUUCAGAUUCCAUCUAUAUCCUUUCCUGUUUGUUUAUUUUAACAUUUUUAUGGGUUUCCAAAAAUAAAAUAUCACUUUAAAAAGAUCUCCAUGCAGUUUAAAUAACAAGGUUAACAAAUAAUAGUAAAAGUUUGGAAAGCCAAGACCUAACGUUUUUACAUAAUAUAGUCUCUCUAGGAGAUAUAGAAACUUUUCUUGAAAUAUAAAAGUUUAUGUGAAAUUCAUCAC
rnacentral:lncRNA from 1 species